rnacentral:lncRNA from 1 species
UUGUUAAGUUUUGUUCAUAAUAUUUAUCCAUCAAAGAAUAGGACCUUGCAUUUCGAAAAAAAAUAAAAUUGAUGGCGCCGAGACCUAAAGGAUCAUUCAGAGAGGCGGAAUGAUUUUUGUAUUAUUCUAGCAAAAGAAAGAACGGCUGUUCUAUUAAGAGCUACAGUAUGCAAGACCAUUCAAUGCAAUGGUCUAUUCAGUCUUCGGCGUGGCAAGAGGGGAUUUGAUGACUGUGAAUCACUGGCCACC